rnacentral:rRNA from 1 species
GUAGGGGGCAAGCGUUAUCCGGAUUUACUGGGUGUAAAGGGAGCGUAGACGGCNNGACAAGNCUGAUGUGAAAACCCAGGGCUCAACCCUGGGACUGCAUUUGNAACUGCNNUGCUNGAGUGCNGGAGAGGUAAGCGGAAUUCCUAGUGUAGCGGUGAAAUGCGUAGAUAUUAGGAGGAACACCAGUGGCGAAGGCGGCUUACUGGACUGUAACUGACGUUGAGGCUCGAAAGUGUGGGGAGCAAACAGGAUUAGAUACCCUGGUAGUCCACGCCGUAAACGAUGAUUGCUAGGUGUNAGUGNGUAUGGACCNAUCGNUGCCCCACCUAACCCNUUAAUCNUUCCACNUGGGNANU